CCUACGGGUGGCAGCAGUGAGGAAUAUUGGUCAAUGGACGAAAGUCUGAACCAGCCAUGCCGCGUGCAGGAAGACGGCUCUAUGAGUUGUAAACUGCUUUUAUACGAGGGUAAACGCAUAUACGCGUAGCUGUCUGUAAGUAUCGUACGAAUAAGGAUCGGCUAACUCCGUGCCAGCAGCCGCGGUAAUACGGAGGAUUCAAGCGUUAUCCGGAUUUAUUGGGUUUAAAGGGUGCGUAGGCGGUCUGAUAGGUGAGAGGUGAAAUGUCGAGGCUCAACCUCGGAAUUGCAUCUGAUACUGUUAGGCUAGAGAGUAGUUGAGGUAGGCGGAAUGCAUGGUGUAGCGGUGAAAUGCUUAGAGAUCACACAGAACACCGAUUGCGAAGGCAGCUUACCAAGCUACUUCUGACGCUGAGGCUCGAAAGCGUGGGGAGCAAACAGGAUUAGAUACCCGUGUAGUC
rnacentral:rRNA from 1 species